CUAAGUACAGAAUUUAGAGCGCCAAAAUUUGUGCGAAAUUUAGUGCGCCAAAAUUUGGCACUAAUAUUAUUUCAUUUUAUUAUUUUGUUUCUAACUUAACCAAUCUCAUCCGAGCCCUAGGUUUCUCUUCAGCCUCCCUAAUUGCCUCUAUCUCUAUUCUCAGUCUCAACUCUGAACUGGCCCCCUCUCUCUCUCUGCAACUCCCUAAUCGCCUCCAUCUUUAUUCUCGUUCUCAACUCUGAACUUGCCCCCUCCCCCCUUUCUCUCUCUCUGCAACUCCCCAUUCGCCUUCAUCUCUAUUCUCUUUUCUCAACUCUGAACUUGCCCGCUCCCUCUCUCUGCAACUCCCCAAUCGCCUCCAUCUCUAUUCUCUUUUCUCAACUUUGAACUUGCCCUCCCCCCCCCCCCCCCCCCCCCCCCCAAUCUACAAAAAUUAGAAGUUCAAAACCCAUAUAUUUCAGUUUAUCUAUCUGUCUGCAAGAAUCAAAAGUUCAAAAUCUAUUUCCUAAUCAAAACCCAUAUCUAAUAUGCCAGAUUGUUCAAAAAAUUAAAACCCAUAUCUUUCAGUUUCCAUCGCCCGUUGUUCCAGUUCGAGUUCGCCGGUCGCAAGUUUUAGCCGCUGUCUCUCAACAGCCGCUGUCUCUCAAUAGCCGCUGUGUGUUUUUGUGUAUUGAUUUGUUAAUUAAUUGAUUCCUGAUUUUUUUUUUUUUUUUUUCAUUUGAUGAAUACAUGACUCAUUUAUUCGAUUUUGAUGUUAGAGUUGGGCCAAAGGAGUUCAAUUUUUGAAAAGGAUGCCUACUAACAGGUUAGGGAUUUCAAUUUGAAGAGGAUGCCUACUAGGAAAGGGUUUCGAAGAAAUGGAUUUCGGAGGAAAGAGAGAAGGAUGUGGUGGAAGUGAUGGGUAUGUUCAUUUCCAUUGUUAAGAAAAGUUGUUUUUUCCACCAAGGCUAUAGCUUUUUGGUGGGCAAAGCGGUGGGUCAUGUGGGUGUGGGGGUUUGAGUGUGUUUAUAUAUAUGUAUGUAUAUGUGUAUCAUUUUCUGUGCGCAUCGGCAUUGCCGACAUCGGAGGAGAAGUCCAGAAUUGCCACCACCAUUCGUCCCAGCCCUACACACCUCAACAGGCCUAGGGGAAGAUCUCUGAUUUCAAUUCUUGAUGGAGGAGAAGGCUACUGCAAUUCAACAAAGUAACAGGCUUCGUCAGGAACUGGUGAGGGAUUCAUAUAUGACUUCAUUCUAUACUAUUUUAUAUUCUUCUUUAUUAUUUUUCUUAUAAUUACAUCUUACAUUCAUGAGUUUUUAAGCU